rnacentral:rRNA from 1 species
GCGGUAGUUUAGUCUUGUUAGAGGAACCUGCUUUUUUAAUCGAUACUCCACGUAUUAUUUUACUUAUUUUAUUAUAGUUUGUAUACCAUCAUUAGCAGAUGAUUUUUAAAGGAAAUAAUCAUUGAAAUUGAAUAUUGUUAAAAAAAUUAGAUCAAGGUGCAGCUGAUGAAUAAGUUAAAAUGGGUUACAAUAAAAUUUAUUUAAUACGGAAUAAAUUAGUAAGAAAGUUUAGGAAGGGGGAUUUAAUUGUAAUAUAAAUUUAAUAAGUUUAUAUGAUAUGAGCUCUAAAUUAUGUACACAUCGCC